rnacentral:lncRNA from 1 species
CAUAAUAGAGUUUAAUUCUUCAUAAUCACCGAUCACAUAAGUAACUCUAUGGCUAUGAGGAAAGCUUCAUACACUUUGUUUCCCUUGGUGUUUGUCAUUCUUAUCUCAAUUGGUCUCUCUCUCUCACACACACAUCUUUAAUAAACACACACUUGUUAUUUAUUUGUUUAUAUAUUCACAUAUAACCCACCUAAUGUAGAAAUCCCAUUUGGAAAUUACAAUCCUUUUAUAACAAAAUUGCAAAAUUAAUGUGAAGAGUAUAAUCACCACAUUUUCUUAAAAACCGUUUUAUUUUAUUAUUUCAUGAUCUACGACAUUUCUUUAUGUGUGCGCCUUUAGCCGAUUGAGAGGAUUUUAUAUAAAUUUUUUGUAGAGAAAGACGAACAGUAAAUAAGAAAGAGAACGAGAGUCGAAUCAAAAAGUAAUAUAAUUAUCCCUUCUCGGAAACUGAUGCUUGAGUCACGUAGAUUGACUAACCUAACUCAGUAGGCUUUCCUAUAAUUAGAUGUUUCACCGACGUGUUUUAUAAUGUUUUUGUUAUGUCGUUUCAUAAAUAAAAGUAUGAGUAGAACUGUGUUACUCAAAUUUUAUUCCUAUGUUGAUAGGUUUUCAAAGUGUGGAUGCUUGGGGCCCUCCAUGUAAAGUCAGCCAGGACUGUGUGACUUACUGUAAAGUCCCCAUUAGUAGAGGCACUCCACUAUGCCUAGGAGGACAUUGCACCUGUGAAGCUGUGGAAAACCAUGAAACUAUAGUAGCUCGAAAAUUUUUACAUGACUAGGAAUAGGGAUCUACUCUAUGAUUUUAUGUAAGAAC